UGUGUAGGCGGUUGCUUAAGUUUGGUGUGAAAUCUCCCGGCUCAACUGGGAGGGUGCGCCGAAUACUGAGUGACUCGAGUGCGGGAGAGGAGAGUGGAAUUCCUGGUGUAGCGGUGAAAUGCGUAGAUAUUAGGAGGAACACCGGUGGUGUAGACGGCUCUCUGGACCGUAACUGACGCUGAGACACGAAAGCGUGGGUAGCAAACA
rnacentral:rRNA from 1 species